rnacentral:misc_RNA from 1 species
AACGCACAUUGCGCCCUUUGGUAUUCCGAGGGGCACACCUGUUCGAGCGUCAUUUAAACCAUCAAGCCCUGCUUGGUCUUGGACGCGGUCGAGCGACCCGUCCGUAACCCGUUGGCGGUACAGUCCGGCUUCGAGCGUAGCAAGAAUAUCGCUUCAGGAGUCCGCGGCGGCGUCUGCCAGGAAACACUACCCAAAGUUUGACCUCGGAUCAGGUGAGGAUACCCGCUGAACUUAA